rnacentral:rRNA from 1 species
UACGUAGGGUGCAAGCGUUGUCCGGAAUUAUUGGGCGUAAAGAGCUCGUAGGCGGUUUGUCGCGUCGGGAGUGAAAAUCCAGGGCUUAACUCUGGACUGGCUUCCGAUACGGGCAGACUAGAGGUAUGCAGGGGAGAACGGAAUUCCUGGUGUAGCGGUGAAAUGCGUAGAUAUUGGGAGGAACACCAGUGGCGAAGGCGGCUCACUGGACCGGAACUGACGCUGAGGCGCGAAAGCUAGGGGAGCAAACGGG